rnacentral:rRNA from 1 species
CAAGUCGAGCGGCAGCGGGAAGUAGUUUACUACUUCGCCGGCGAGCGGCGGACGGGUGAGUAAUGUCUGGGGAUCUGCCUGAUGGAGGGGGAUAACUACUGGAAACGGUAGCUAAUACCGCAUGACCUCGCAAGAGCAAAGUGGGGGACCUUCGGGCCUCACGCCAUCGGAUGAACCCAGAUGGGAUUAGCUAGUAGGUGGGGUAAUGGCUCACCUAGGCGACGAUCCCUAGCUGGUCUGAGAGGAUGACCAGCCACACUGGAACUGAGACACGGUCCAGACUCCUACGGGAGGCAGCAGUGGGGAAUAUUGCACAAUGGGCGCAAGCCUGAUGCAGCCAUGCCGCGUGUGUGAAGAAGGCCUUCGGGUUGUAAAGCACUUUCAGCGAGGAGGAAGGCAGUCGUGUUAAU